AACGAACGCUGGCGGCAUGCCUAACACAUGCAAGUCGAACGAAGGCUUCGGCCUUAGUGGCGCACGGGUGCGUAACGCGUGGGAACCUGCCCUUUGGUUCGGAAUAACAGCUGGAAACGGCUGCUAAUACCGGAUGAUGACGAAAGUCCAAAGAUUUAUCGCCAGAGGAUGAGCCCGCGUUGGAUUAGGUAGUUGGUGGGGUAAAGGCCUACCAAGCCGACGAUCCAUAGCUGGUCUGAGAGGAUGAUCAGCCACACUGGGACUGAGACACGGCCCAGACUCCUACGGGAGGCAGCAGUGGGGAAUAUUGGACAAUGGGCGCAAGCCUGAUCCAGCAAUGCCGCGUGAGUGAUGAAGGCCCUAGGGUUGUAAAGCUCUUUUACCCGGGAAGAUAAUGACUGUACCGGGAGAAUAAGCCCCGGCUAACUCCGUG
rnacentral:rRNA from 1 species